rnacentral:rRNA from 1 species
UACGAAGGGGGCAAGCGUUGUUCGGAAUUACUGGGCGUAAAGGGCGCGUAGGCGGCUUAUCAAGUCAGGCGUGAAAUUCCCGGGCUCAACCUGGGGGCUGCGCUUGAUACUGAUGAGCUUGAAUGCGGGAGAGGAUAGUGGAAUUCCCAGUGUAGAGGUGAAAUUCGUAGAUAUUGGGAAGAACACCGGUGGCGAAGGCGGCUAUCUGGCCCGUAAUUGACGCUGAGGCGCGAAAGCGUGGGGAGCAAACAGGAUUAGAUACCCCCGUAGUCC